AGUAAGCAGGCCAGAAAAGUAACAUGCAUUGCUCUAUUCGUUCACGCGUGUAUUGAAUGUUUGUGUACUUUAAAAGUUGCCCUGUAUUGAUAACAUGUGAAUCACUAACACACCGUUUUGUUCUGUUUCUACUCCACGCUUCAGAAGGGUUCCUUCCCGGCACAGUGUACUCUGGCACCGGAAACCUCCAAGGCAAGAAAGCACAUCGAGAAUUCUCUUGAGCGAAUGGAUGAAAUUGCCGCCCUGCCCGCAAGCCCCAUUGCCGAAUGGCUUGAUCGUAUGUCUGCAAUGGAGAAGAGGAUCGAGGAAGUGACCGAGCGUGUCAAGGUACUGGAAUUGGUAGCCGUUAAUAAAGAUAAAAAAAAGUCCCUGCCUUUGCCCGCAAGCCCCAUUGCCGAAUGGCUUGAUUGUAUGUCUGCAAUGGAGAAGAGGAUCGAGGAAGUGACCGAGCGUGUCAAGGUACUGGAAUUGGUAGCCGUUAAUAAAGAUAAAAAAAAACCCCUGCCACGAAAACCGCCGCAGCCGCAGCCCCAGCACCCAAACCUGCCCCAAGACCUGCCCCAGCCGCCGAUGAGGAAGACAUAUACGAGCCGGAGUGGAAUAUAUUUAUGCAGCUUGUUAUUUUCAUAGUUAAUAAAUUUUUCUAGUGAAUGUGUUACCAUAGACUAAUUCCGGUGUUACCGUUGAAUGUGUUUUUUGUUUAUGAGUGGAAUGGGAGGAGCUGGAGGAGUGAGGAUUUUGAGCGGGAGAUGGGCAUGAUUGGAUCUACAGCGCGAAUUGUAAGGGGACUUGAGUUUGGGAUUGCAAAGAAGCCACACGUUUCAGCCCGUGUAAAGAAGUGUAAAGUGCAGCCAUUACGAACCCAUGCCAGAGUCGAAAGCCGAUUGUGACAUCUUCCUAGACAUAUCGCUAAAGGUCUAUGGAAUUAGUGAGAAGCCUGCCAGUAUUGUCGCCCUUCACCCUACGGCGCACGGCGUGCAUCUCUAUAGGCCAUGCAUCCCGCCCCCGCCCAAGCGUUGCCACGAUAGGCCGAUAACCAGGGUUCGACCACCAACCCGGAACCCAGCCGAAAGCAAACAGGCGCACGAGGAGCCGUCCUCUCCGCGGCUCCACACGCCGCGACGACCAACAUCACGGAGAAACAAAAGUACCCAAAAGUGAGUUGUUUCCAUCCAACUUCGGGGUUGCGUGCGUCAAGCCAAUUUUGAGUUGAUAGAAUCGAUGCUUAUGUUGGGUUGUUCCCGUUUGCUUCCAUGUGAAAAAAAAUACUUAAAAGAAAGUUUUUUUCACCCAACCAAAAAAUCGAUUAGGUUCUAUUCACCCAAAUUUGAGUACUGUGCAAGACACUCAACGUUGAGUUGACGCACUCGAACUGCAGAAGUUGGGCUAUUUCGCUCUUCUUUCUCUGACAACAAAAGAAAGAGCGCAUGAAAAGGGAGAUGAAAAAGAACUCAAAUUUGAAUUUAAAAGAACUCAAAUUUGAGUUGUUCAGUUUCUCCGUGUGUGCUCCUGCAGGUACGUCCUCUCCUCCCUUUCCACCGACAUCGACACCAAUGGGCCUGUCAACUUGCGUAUUUUGGAUUCACCUUCACGUAUUGAAAAAGUGUAUUUUGCAUUUAUGGCAGUUUUGACAGCUGGUGUAUUACGUGUAUUUUUGUAUUAUUGUGUAUUAAAUAAAGGCCUUUUCGUAUUUUUAGUGUAUUAUGUA